UUGCUGUGAUGACGUAUCUUAGGACACCUUUGGAACACCCAUGAAAAAAAAAAUACAAGAAAGUUCUUUCUGAGCAAC
rnacentral:snoRNA from 1 species